ACGAUGAUGUGUAGCCGGACUGAGAGGUUGAACAGCCACAUUGGGACUGAGACACGGCCCAAACUCCUACGGGAGGCAGCAGUAGGGAAUUUUCGGCAAUGGAGGAAACUCUGACCGAGCAACGCCGCGUGAACGGUGAAGUAUUUCGGUACGUAAAGUUCUUUUAUUAGGGAAGAAUAAAUGAUGGAAAACCAUCAUUUUCACGGUACCUAAUGAAUAAGCCCCGGCUAACUAUGUGCCAGCAGCCGCGGUAAUACAUAGGGGGCAAGCGUUAUCCGGAAUUAUUGGGCGUAAAGGGUGCGUAGGCGGUUAAAUAAGUUUAUGCUCUAAGUGCAAUGCUCAACAUUGUGAUGCUAUAAAAACUGUUUAGCUAGAGUAAGAUAGAGGCAAGUGGAAUUCCAUGUGUAGUGGUAAAAUGCGUAAAUAUAUGGAGGAACACCAGUAGCGAAGGCGGCUUGCUGGGUCUUUACUGACGCUGAGGCACGAAAGCGUGGGGAGCAAACAGGAUUAGAUACCCUGGUAGUCCACGCCGUAAACGAUGAGUACUAAACGUUGGGUAAAACCAGUGUUGAGGUUAACACAUUAAGUACUCCGCCUGAGUAGUACGUACGCAAGUAUGAAACUUAAAGGAAUUGACGGGACUCCGCACAAGCGGUGGAUCAUGUUGUUUAAUUCGAAGGUACCCGAAAAACCUCACCAGGUCUUGACAUGCUUCUGCAAAGCUGUAGAAACACAGUGGAGGUUAUCAGUUGCACAGGUGGUGCAUGGUUGUCGUCAGCUCGUGUCGUGAGAUGUUGGGUUAAGUCCCGCAACGAGCGCAACCCUUAUUGUUAGUUUCCAGCACGUAAUGGUGGGGACUUUAGCAAGACUGCCAGUGAUAAAUUGGAGGAAGGUGGGGAUGACGUCAAAUCAGCAUGCCCCUUAUGACCUGGGCUACAAACGUGAUACAAUGGCUGUUACAAAGGGUAGCUGAAGCGCAAGUUUUUGGCGAAUCUCAAAAAAACAGUCUCAGUCCGGAUUGAAGUCUGCAACACGACUUCAUGAAGUUGGAAUCGCUAGUAAUCGCGAAUCAGCAUGUCGCGGUGAAUACGUUCUCGGGGUUUGUACACACCAACCACUAGU
rnacentral:rRNA from 1 species